rnacentral:rRNA from 1 species
AAAGUGAAUAGUGAAAUCUGGGGCGUCAACCUCACAGGCUAUUGUUCAAACUCACAAGCUCGAGAAUGAUAGAGGUAACUGGAAUUUCUGAAGUAGGGAUAAUAUCCGUAGAUAUCAGAAGGAACACCAAUGGCGUAGGCAGGUUACUGGAUCAUUUCUGACACUGAGGCACGAAAGCGUGGGGAGCGAACCGGAUUAGAUACCCGGGUAGUCCACGCCGUAAACGAUGGAUACUA